rnacentral:rRNA from 1 species
UACGUAGGGGGCAAGCGUUGUCCGGAUUUAUUGGGCGUAAAGAGCGCGUAGGCGGUCAUGCAGGUCCGUUGUGAAAACUCGAGGCUCAACCUCGAGACGCCGAUGGAAACCGCAUGGCUAGAGUCCGGAAGAGGAGAGUGGAAUUCCUGGUGUAGCGGUGAAAUGCGCAGAUAUCAGGAAGAACACCCGUGGCUAAGGCGGCUCUCUAGUACGGUACUGACGCUGAGGCGCGAAAGCGUGGGGAGCGAACAGG